GGAAAGAACAUACACCACAACCAAGUGGGACUUAUUCCAAGGUUGCAAGGAUGGUUAAGUAUUCAUAAAUCAAUCAGUGUGAUACA